UCUUCCGAACGUGCCGAACGCCUUCGACCUCGUGAAAACGGACGAGGAUCGCGAUUUCCUGAAGCUGGUGUUCGGUCCGUGGAGCUACGGCCGGCCCUUGGUCGCGCCGCCCGGCAUUCCGCAGGACCGCUUGGACGCCUUGCGCGCCGCGUUCGAGGCCACGAUGAAGGACCCGGCCUUCCUGGACGAGGCGAAGAAGCUCAACCUCGAAGUGCAGCCCAUAUCGGCGGACCGGAUCGAGGUGCUCGUCGCGGAACUCUACAAAACGUCGCGCCCUGUGGUGGAGCGGGCGCGCGAGGCGCUCGGCAUCGGCAGCCGGUAGGGAAUGGAUCAGCGCCUGACCCUGGAGGAAUCCUAUGAAGCCCUGGAUGGAGAUGAUUC
rnacentral:misc_RNA from 1 species